UACGUAGGGUGCAAGCGUUAUUCGGAAUUACUGGGCGUAAAGCGUGCGUAGGCGGCUUUGCAAGACAGAUGUGAAAUCCCCGGGCUUAACUUGGGAACUGCAUUUGUGACUGCAUGGCUGGAGUGCGGCAGAGGGGGAUGGAAUUCCGCGUGUAGCAGUGAAAUGCGUAGAUAUGCGGAGGAACACCGAUGGCGAAGGCAAUCCCCUGGGCCUGCACUGACGCUCAUGCACGAAAGCGUGGGGAGCAAACAGG
rnacentral:rRNA from 1 species